GCGCUCGCUUCAGCAGCACAUGCGUAAAAUUGGAACCAUACAGAGAAGAUCAGCAUGGCCCCUGUGCAAGGAUGACACGCAAAUUCGUGAAGCGUCCCGUAUUUUG
rnacentral:snRNA from 1 species